AUCAGGUUAAAAACAUCAAGAGAAAAAAGUAAUCAUGUGGUUAAUAAGAGAGGGAUGAUUGAUUCAUAGCCCUUGUGCUCCAUUAAUACCUCUUCAAUGCCAAGAGAACUGGAGAAGUGCUUCCCCUGCCCCAAAGAGAAGACAAUCAUUGGAGUAAAGACAUCUUAUAAAGUGAUAGUGGUGGAAAUAUUAAAGGGCAACCUGAGGGGAGAAAGAAGGGACUUCUGUUGCCAGGUGUUGUGAGGACCAAAUGGGAUAAUGGAUUUGAAAAAACUUUAUAAGAGGCAUGGAAAUCUGGAUGAAAGACAAAAGUCAGAAUGACUGGUGAUGGCUCAGGAUGCAGUGAAUGACCAUGAUGUAAUCAUUGUGUGACCAAGCUCUAAAUGCCUCACAGCAUCUGCUUCAGCUACUUUCAUGGACAUUGGAAAAAAUUGUUCUCAUCUGUUCAUUCCACUGGGGAAAUCCUCAUAUGCUUGGGGUAAACAUCCCUCUAACACACCAGUGGGUUUGGGGCUCAUCAUUUGCCCUCAACCUAGUUUAGCCCAUUUCUCGAGAUGUGGUCUCUGUGCAUGCUUCUUGGAAUCACAGGAACAAGUAGAACUUGUUGCACACCAAAGAUGUUUAAUCAAGAUUUGUGGUCAUGUAGGUCAGAUCAAUAGCCUCUACCACAUGGUGCUUGAAGAAUUCAUUUUUCCCUUUGGUCUGAAUUAUUUGGAUUGUUAACUCAGUAACUGAACUCAUAAUGCAACACCCUCCGUCUCGGUUUGCUUAUGCUGAUGUUAAAGUUAAUGUUCAAUAGCAAGAUAAUGUAUCAACAUACUAGUAUCCAAAUAAGUUUGUACCUGUGUCACAGCUAAUGUUCAACAUUGACUGGAGGGUUUUGUCUAAUGUUUAGUGGAAAUGAGAACAGCAGAAAACACUCACUUGAUGGGGCGAUUGCACUUUUGAUUUUGUGAUUGUGUCUUUCUUGGAUGACCUACCUGGUAAAUUAAACCACUCACACCUCACAGGGUCAGGAUCUGUAGCUCUCUAUUUCCAGAAUGAGUUAUCUUUCUUCUUCUUCAAUUUUUUUUUGUCUACAAUGAGUUCUAAACAUGAGAUAGUAUGAUAUUGGGAAUUAUAGCUUUUGCAAAAUAUUAGACAACUGCAAUCUCUUUGAAGUAAUGGAACAACAAAUGAUAUACCAUUGGAAGGAUUAAGAAAUAUCCCCAGGUAGUAGCUUUGGCCAUUUCUAUGUGAGUCGGGCUUGUUUGAGGGAGAAUAGUCUCUAGUUAGGCCAAAAUUUUAUUUUAUCUCAAAGAUCACACAUUUAAAACUGAAGAUUUUGAAGGGAUCUCAAAAAUCAUUUAGUUUAAUGUCAAACUCAAAUAGAAAUGGGGCCAUUAAACCAUACAUAAUGAUGUUGACUUAGAA
rnacentral:lncRNA from 1 species